UACGUAGGGGGCUAGCGUUGUCCGGAAUCAUUGGGCGUAAAGCGCGUGUAGGCGGUCCGGUAAGUCCGCUGUGAAAGUCGGGGGCUCAACCCUCGAAUGCCGGUGGAAACUGUCGGGCUAGAGUACGGAAGAGGCGAGUGGAAUUCCUGGUGUAGCGGUGAAAUGCGCAGAUAUCAGGAAGAACACCCGUGGCGAAGGCGGCUCUCUGGGACGGUACUGACGCUGAGACGCGAAAGCGUGGGGAGCGAACAGG
rnacentral:rRNA from 1 species